rnacentral:rRNA from 1 species
AGAGUUUGAUCCUGGCUCAGGAUGAACGCUGGCGGCGUGCCUAAUACAUGCAAGUCGAACGGAGAGCCUCAAGUAAUUUAUUACGAGAGGAUUCUUAGUGGCGAACGGGUGAGUAACGCGUUGGUGACCUGCCCCGAAGAGGGGGAUAACUCCGGGAAACUGGAGCUAAUACCCCAUAAGGUCAUGAGAGUUAGAGGUCUUGUGACUAAAGGCUUCGGUCGCUUCGGGAGGGGCCUGCGUCCCAUCAGCUAGUUGGUAGGGUAACGGCCUACCAAGGCAACGACGGGUAGGGGACCUGAGAGGGUGACCCCCCACAAUGGAACUGAAACACGGUCCAUACACCUACGGGUGGCAGCAGUAGGGAAUAUUGCCCAAUGGGCGAAAGCCUGAGGCAGCAACGCCGCGUGUGCGAUGAAGGCCUUCGGGUUGUAAAGCACUUUUCUGAGGGAAGAGGAAGGACGGUACCUCAGGAAUAAGGCUCGGCUAACUACGUGCCAGCAGCCGCGGUAAAACGUAGGAGUCAAGCGUUAUCCGAAUUUACUGGGCGUAAAGCGCGUGUAGGCGGUGUGGUAAGUUGGAUGUGAAAGCUCCCGGCUCAACUGGGAGAGGCCAUUCAAUACUGCCGCACUAGAGGACGGUAGAGGGAGGUGGAAUUCCCGGUGUAGUGGUGAAAUGCGUAGAUAUCGGGAGGAACACCAGUGGCGAAGGCGGCCUCCUGGGCCGGUCCUGACGCUAAGACGCGAAAGCUAGGGUAGCAAACGGGAUUAGAAACCCCGGUAGUCCUAGCCGUAAACGAUGUAGACUAGGUGUUGGUGGUGUAAGAGCCAUCGGUGCCGCAGCUAACGCGAUAAGUCUACCGCCUGGGGAGUACGGUCGCAAGGCUAAAACUCAAAGGAAUUGACGGGGACCCGCACAAGCAGCGGAGCGUGUGGUUUAAUUCGAUGCUACGCGAAGAACCUUACCCGGGCUUGACAUGCAGGUGGUAGGAAGCCGAAAGGUGACCGACCCUUCGGGGAGCCUGCACAGGUGCUGCAUGGCUGUCGUCAGCUCGUGCCGUGAGGUGUCCGAUUAAGUCCGGUAACGAGCGCAACCCUCGCUGUAUGUUACACGUAUCAUACGGGACUGCCGGUAUAAAGCCGGAGGAAGGUGGGGAUGACGUCAAGUCAGCAUGGCCUUUAUGUCCGGGGCUACACACACGCUACAAUGGUCAGUACAAUGGGCUGCAAGACCGCAAGGUGGAGCCAAUCCCAAAAGCUGGCCUCAGUUCAGAUUGCAGGCUGCAACUCGCCUGCAUGAAGCCGGAGUUGCUAGUAACCGCGCGUCAGCCACAGUGCGGUGAAUACGUUCCCGGGCCUUGUACACACCGCCC